UUAAGCGACUAAGCGUACACGGUGGAUGCCCUGGCAGUCAGAGGCGAUGAAGGACGUGCUAAUCUGCGAUAAGCGUCGGUGAGGUGAUAUGAACCGUUAUAACCGGCGAUUUCCGAAUGGGGAAACCCAGUGUGUUUCGAUACACUAUCAUUAACUGAAUCCAUAGGUUAAUGAGGCGAACCGGGGGAACUGAAACAUCUAAGUACCCCGAGGAAAAGAAAUCAACCGAGAUUCCCCCAGUAGCGGCGAGCGAACGGGGAGGAGCCCAGAGCCUGAAUCAGUGUGUGUGUUAGUGGAAGCGUCUGGAAAGGCGCGCGAUACAGGGUGACAGCCCCGUACACAAAAAUGCACAUAUUGUGAGCUCGAUGAGUAGGGCGGGACACGUGGUAUCCUGUCUGAAUAUGGGGGGACCAUCCUCCAAGGCUAAAUACUCCUGACUGACCGAUAGUGAACCAGUACCGUGAGGGAAAGGCGAAAAGAACCCCGGCGAGGGGAGUGAAAAAGAACCUGAAACCGUGUACGUACAAGCAGUGGGAGCCUCUUAAUGGGGUGACUGCGUACCUUUUGUAUAAUGGGUCAGCGACUUAUAUUCUGUAGCAAGGUUAACCGAAUAGGGGAGCCGAAGGGAAACCGAGUCUUAACUGGGCGUUAAGUUGCAGGGUAUAGACCCGAAACCCGGUGAUCUAGCCAUGGGCAGGUUGAAGGUUGGGUAACACUAACUGGAGGACCGAACCGACUAAUGUUGAAAAAUUAGCGGAUGACUUGUGGCUGGGGGUGAAAGGCCAAUCAAACCGGGAGAUAGCUGGUUCUCCCCGAAAGCUAUUUAGGUAGCGCCUCGUGAAUUCAUCUCCGGGGGUAGAGCACUGUUUCGGCAAGGGGGUCAUCCCGACUUACCAACCCGAUGCAAACUGCGAAUACCGGAGAAUGUUAUCACGGGAGACACACGGCGGGUGCUAACGUCCGUCGUGAAGAGGGAAACAACCCAGACCGCCAGCUAAGGUCCCAAAGUCAUGGUUAAGUGGGAAACGAUGUGGGAAGGCCCAGACAGCCAGGAUGUUGGCUUAGAAGCAGCCAUCAUUUAAAGAAAGCGUAAUAGCUCACUGGUCGAGUCGGCCUGCGCGGAAGAUGUAACGGGGCUAAACCAUGCACCGAAGCUGCGGCAGCGACACUAUGUGUUGUUGGGUAGGGGAGCGUUCUGUAAGCCUGUGAAGGUGGCCUGUGAGGGUUGCUGGAGGUAUCAGAAGUGCGAAUGCUGACAUAAGUAACGAUAAAGCGGGUGAAAAGCCCGCUCGCCGGAAGACCAAGGGUUCCUGUCCAACGUUAAUCGGGGCAGGGUGAGUCGACCCCUAAGGCGAGGCCGAAAGGCGUAGUCGAUGGGAAACAGGUUAAUAUUCCUGUACUUGGUGUUACUGCGAAGGGGGGACGGAGAAGGCUAUGUUGGCCGGGCGACGGUUGUCCCGGUUUAAGCGUGUAGGCUGGUUUUCCAGGCAAAUCCGGAAAACCAAGGCUGAGGCGUGAUGACGAGGCACUACGGUGCUGAAGCGACAAAUGCCCUGCUUCCAGGAAAAGCCUCUAAGCAUCAGGUAACAUCAAAUCGUACCCCAAACCGACACAGGUGGUCAGGUAGAGAAUACCAAGGCGCUUGAGAGAACUCGGGUGAAGGAACUAGGCAAAAUGGUGCCGUAACUUCGGGAGAAGGCACGCUGAUAUGUAGGUGAAGUGACUAGCUCGUGGAGCUGAAAUCAGUCGAAGAUACCAGCUGGCUGCAACUGUUUAUUAAAAACACAGCACUGUGCAAACACGAAAGUGGACGUAUACGGUGUGACGCCUGCCCGGUGCCGGAAGGUUAAUUGAUGGGGUUAGCGGUAACGCGAAGCUCUUGAUCGAAGCCCCGGUAAACGGCGGCCGUAACUAUAACGGUCCUAAGGUAGCGAAAUUCCUUGUCGGGUAAGUUCCGACCUGCACGAAUGGCGUAAUGAUGGCCAGGCUGUCUCCACCCGAGACUCAGUGAAAUUGAACUCGCUGUGAAGAUGCAGUGUACCCGCGGCAAGACGGAAAGACCCCGUGAACCUUUACUAUAGCUUGACACUGAACAUUGAGCCUUGAUGUGUAGGAUAGGUGGGAGGCUUUGAAGUGUGGACGCCAGUCUGCAUGGAGCCGACCUUGAAAUACCACCCUUUAAUGUUUGAUGUUCUAACGUUGGCCCGUAAUCCGGGUUGCGGACAGUGUCUGGUGGGUAGUUUGACUGGGGCGGUCUCCUCCUAAAGAGUAACGGAGGAGCACGAAGGUUGGCUAAUCCUGGUCGGACAUCAGGAGGUUAGUGCAAUGGCAUAAGCCAGCUUGACUGCGAGCGUGACGGCGCGAGCAGGUGCGAAAGCAGGUCAUAGUGAUCCGGUGGUUCUGAAUGGAAGGGCCAUCGCUCAACGGAUAAAAGGUACUCCGGGGAUAACAGGCUGAUACCGCCCAAGAGUUCAUAUCGACGGCGGUGUUUGGCACCUCGAUGUCGGCUCAUCACAUCCUGGGGCUGAAGUAGGUCCCAAGGGUAUGGCUGUUCGCCAUUUAAAGUGGUACGCGAGCUGGGUUUAGAACGUCGUGAGACAGUUCGGUCCCUAUCUGCCGUGGGCGCUGGAGAACUGAGGGGGGCUGCUCCUAGUACGAGAGGACCGGAGUGGACGCAUCACUGGUGUUCGGGUUGUCAUGCCAAUGGCACUGCCCGGUAGCUAAAUGCGGAAGAGAUAAGUGCUGAAAGCAUCUAAGCACGAAACUUGCCCCGAGAUGAGUUCUCCCUGAGACUUAGAGUCUCCUGAAGGAACGUUGAAGACGACGACGUUGAUAGGCCGGGUGUGUAAGCGCAGCGAUGCGUUGAGCUAACCGGUACUAAUGAACCGUGAGGCUUAACCUU
rnacentral:rRNA from 1 species